rnacentral:rRNA from 1 species
UACGUAGGGGGCAAGCGUUGUCCGGAAUUAUUGGGCGUAAGGCGCGUGUAGGCGGCCAGAUAAGUCCGCUGUGAAAUCUCGAGGCUCAACUUCGAGCUGUCGGUGGAAACUGUCUGGCUAGAGUCCGGAAGAGGAGAAUGGAAUUCCUGGUGUAGCGGUGAAAUGCGCAGAUAUCAGGAAGAACACCCGUGGCGAAGGCGGUUCUCUGGGACGGUACUGACGCUGAGACGCGAAAGCGUGGGGAGCGAACAGG